GCCGUUUCCAAUAAUUUCGUAAUAGGAUUUACCUUCAGUUUCGAUAUGAAAAGCAUAUAAAUCGAAAGCACAAUCAGCUGUUAUUUAUAUUUUAAUAAUCAGUCAUUUCAAUUGAAAUCAUUCUCGAACAAAUUCGUUCUAAUCACAGAUUAGUAUAAUCACGAAUCAGGGUAAGACGUACCUGUGUUAAUAAUGCUAUUGCUAUUGUAAAAUUGAAAAAGCAAAUAUGAGUCAUUUUCCUCGACGAUGUCUCAUAAAGCAAAAUGCCAAUUAAUUUAAAAAAUCGAAUAUUAUAAAUAUAGUACUCGUUUUCAAAAUACUCCUCGUCUUGUACAGACAUACUGGUAUCACUCAUGUGACUCAUUAAUUUCGACUAACUUCAACCCCAUGUUCUUUUUUACAUCAAGUAUCCUAAAUACUCCUUCUAAAUAAAUUUUUAAAUUGUUAAACAUAAAGGUAUAUUUUGAAACAUUGUAUCGAGGUGGUAGAAUUUUUUUCCGUAGCAAUAAUUCAUGUAAAAUUAAUAACAUACUAUAUGUUUUUCCUCAUUUAGUCUAAUUAUAAACAUGAACUGAGAAACAGGUAUUUCUUUCUAGCUAUUAAGUUAUUUUUUGUCAUGUACUCGUUGCGUUGUCGAUUAUUUUUUUCCUUCCACGACGGACAUGCGUAUUACGUGCGUAUACUCUUCCCCGUUUUAUUCUCUCACAGUAUGAUUUUACUUCUCGAAGGAAAAACAUGUUAGUGCUUGACGUGUUAUUAUUAUUUUAUAGAAUUUAUUGAGUUUACAGAAAAUGAUUUUCCAUCAGACUGACAAUUAUUCUCUUCUUAACAUCAACCAAUAUUAAUCAAUAUAAAUAAUAUAAUAGGCAUAACGAUCGGCAAAUAUAAUAACGAAAGCCUAUUUAUCAUGAUCGAAAAUUAGAUGCGUUAAUUGUGGAUCUAACUUCAUUUUUUUAACCAUUUUUUUAAUCAUGCUUCGAAUAGAAAAGUAGAAACAAAUAUAGCUAUUUUUCUAUAAUAUAUGGGUUCCGCUAUUAUUUCGAUUUUGGUAAUUAUGGUUAUUAAAAUACAGAUAUUAAGUAUCUGAUCGAUAACAGAUAUCGAGCUGAUAUUAAAAAUACUGACAAAAUAUCGUAUUUUUAUUAUUUUCCCAAAAAACGGAAAGAGAAAAUCAUAUGCUUUAAAUAUCAGUAUGGUAAUAACAUUGUAAUACCUGUAUAAUACCUAUAAAUAUUUUGAAAAAACAAAUCAUCAAAUUAUAUGAAAUGUGGUUUGGAUAAAAUCGAUUCAAUAAAGUUACUAUUCAAUGCGUUGCAUAUAUUUAUAAAAAUCGACUUCCGUUACCGAAUGUCUGAGUUAUAAAUUUUUUACUGGGUAAUUGAUAUAAAAAGAAAUUACAUCAUAUCAAAAUAAUCAUGUAAAUAGUAUAUUAAUGCGAAUAAAUGCAGAAUAAAUAGAAUAUUUUUUCUUUCAUAUAUUUAUCUUUAUUCCACUUCUAUAUUUACAAAUAAUUUCUGCAUUCUUCAUGAUUAAAAAUUGAGAAAAAAUAUUAAAAAUAUCGAUAAGAAAUGUCAUAAAAAUAUCAACAAUUAAGACAUAAUACUGAUACUAAGAAGAUUUAUCUAACAUUAUUUGAAACAUUUUUUUUUAGGAAGGAAGUAAUAAUAAUAUAAAGGAAGUAAUAUAAUGAGGAUAAUAUCACGUUAUAGUUGGCGUUUUAUUUGUAUAUUUUCCCAAUUUCCAGUUUGUUUACACAUAACUUCUGCAACAAAACCUCAGCACGGAAAUCUGCAUCAACAUCCAAACUUCCUAUAGAAACAGAAAAUUAUUAAAAUUUUACUGUAUUGUUAAAUAAUAUUGUAAUUAAAGGGCCAUCAGCUUA